UCAAGCUAAUUGAAACCAAGCCGGGAAUUAAGCAUCCAUUUUUUUGUACUACGGAUUGAAAGCUCUACGCUUGUCCCUCCCUUGGUCUCUGUUAAAAUCACCAGAGACAUUUUGAAAAGAAGGGAGGGUGUGUGUGUUUUGCCUCUAGCUUCUAAACGUUCUCAUGCAUACAAAAAUAGCGCAAAAGAGGCGUUUCCAAGCAGGAAAAACGGAAAAGGCCGUUCUCAAUGGAAGUGCAACCAUGACGGGAGAAUGAUGGAAUUGAGUGGAAGGAUUGCGAGAAUGUGUGAACAGCGACUCUGAAACCUGCCAUGAGCCUCGGUGAGCAAGGGGCGAGCUACAACUGGAGCUCACCAUCAGCAUCACCCUCGUCCCAAGCCAGGGUUGGAAGGCCCAGAGAGACACAGCAAUCCCGCUCCACUCAGUGCCUGGAUGGAAGACUACCUGGCCACGGCAGGAGGGCAAGGCAUGACAGCAGCUGCCCCGGCACGUGGCUGACAGCUGCCCAUCUGGAGGGAGACCGCUGCUCCUCCCACAGAAUGGAAGGAGGAAGUGGGGGGCAGCUGAAAAUCCCACAGUAAGGGCGCCAUGAAGAAAUUCCAGAGAGACGUCCUCAUUUUCGUCCAGCCACUGGAUAACAAAUGGCUCAAACCACCUAGGAACACAAACAAGCAAGCUUCACCAAUAGGGGUGGGGUUUGUUGCCCCUGGCAACCAUUUUGUCAGAAACAAAUACACAACAACACACACUCUCCCUCAUUACUUCACUGAUUGCAUCCACUCCCCCCUCCCCUCCCCACCUGUAUAUAUCUGACCAGUUUCUUCAUACCCUCCAUGCAUCUGACGAAGAGAACUGUGGUUCUCGAAAG